AGAGUUUGAUCCUGGCUCAGAUUGAACGCUGGCGGCAUGCCUUACACAUGCAAGUCGAACGGCAGCACGGACUUCGGUCUGGUGGCGAGUGGCGAACGGGUGAGUAAUAUAUCGGAACGUACCCUGGAGUGGGGGAUAACGCAGCGAAAGUUGCGCUAAUACCGCAUACGAUCUACGGAUGAAAGUGGGGGCUCGCAAGACCUCAUGCUCGUGGAGCGGCCGAUAUCUGAUUAGCUAGUUGGUAGGGUAAAAGCCUACCAAGGCAUCGAUCAGUAGCUGGUCUGAGAGGACGACCAGCCACACUGGGACUGAGACACGGCCCAGACUCCUACGGGAGGCAGCAGUGGGGAAUUUUGGACAAUGGGGGCAACCCUGAUCCAGCAAUGCCGCGUGAGUGAAGAAGGCCUUCGGGUUGUAAAGCUCUUUUGUCAGGGAAGAAACGGUGAAGGCUAAUAUCCUUUGCUAAUGACGGUACCUG
rnacentral:rRNA from 1 species